rnacentral:lncRNA from 1 species
CCAGAGGGUCGGAACAGAAGCAGCAGCAGGAAUGUUGCUAGGCAAAAAGGUUCUGAUGACAAUGAUGGAGAUUGCAAAUUAUGAUUAGUGCAAACCCAGGAUGUGUCAUCAGCUUAGGAUUCUGUUAUUUACUUAAUUUGAGCCUAAUGAUAUGAAACAUCGUUGUAAUGUUGAAGUUUUCUUAUCCUUUUCAAGGUGCUUCAAUUCCCUGAGGAAAGAGGCAAGCAGAUGGAAUAUUUCAGGCUGCAGACAUAGAAGAACGAGAUAGAAAUAUGCUCUCUGUCCUUGAUGUGAAGAUUCUGUCACUUUUAAUUCUCCAUCUUAUUUACUUUUCUACUACAUAAGAACUGGGGCUUGUUUUAGCAGCAUUGAUUAAGUUGUCAUUGAUUUUCAAGAUAGGAAAUAGAACUUUCAAAUUUCCCACAUGAAUUUUAAAUAAGUCAGAUAUUAACAACAAGAUAAAACAUUUACCAUGGCAAUGACAGAAUAGUCAAGUAUCAUUCAAAACCUUUCAAGGCUCACAAAGAGCAUAUGGAUUCUAGAUGUCAAUACAUACAUGACUAGAACUUACCUGGAGACACACAGCCAGCAAGAUGAGCAUCUGGAGCAGAGAGGAAUUUUACUUUAACGGAAGAUAGCGGUGAGGGCUUGAACACUAAGGAAUUAAUGAGAGAUCAGCCCCUUUAGCGACUCAAAGCAUAUUAUAACUCCAGCUGGUCAAAAAGAGAGGAAAUAAAUAAUAUAACAGGAACAACUGGAAGAGCAAGUGCAGCAUCAGGUUGGUGCAUUUCUUCUGAUCAAAAGGUCGAAUUGCAACUGGUCUUUGAAGAGUGUGCUGGUGACAGUGUGCAACCUUUGCAGUAGCUCCUGGACUGGCCCUAGACUGCUGUCAAAUUAAACCAGCACUGUAAAGAAGAGAGCAAGUUGAAUGAAGUUGAAUGAAGGGGCAUCUUAAUUCCAAUCCUGGCUCUAAUGCUGACUGUAAGCAUGACCCCGGAUGAGUUAUUCACUCUCUCAGUCUCAGUCUCCUCAUCCACAAAGCAGGGAUCACAAUAAAUGAAUAGCACCUUUCACAGAACCCACCAUAUAUACUGAGUGUUCAAUAAAUACCGUGUUCAUCAUCUAACAUCAUAACACAUUGAGCAUCCAUCAAAGCAGAAGUAGUUCGCACCUGGAUAUUUCUGUUUCUUUUUUUUUUUUUGCUAUCCUACUGGUGUUUUACUUAAAUUUAGUGUGGUAAUAUGAAAGAAAAUUACUGCUCUUCUGCUAUUUAGUUAGCAUUUUUAUGCUUUUUAAAAAAUAUUGCAAUAAAAUUAAUAAAAUUUGAAUUCAGUCUUUCCUAUUUAACUAAUAUUAUCUAAAAAUAACUACCUCCCAGGACCACAUUAUACAACAACAUAUAGUAGCUACCUAGGGGCAGCUAUCUUAAUUGUUGAGAAAAUUCUACAAAGAAAGUACCUUCUUCUGGACAUCAUACCUAUUCAUAUUGCCAGUGUCAGGGAUGUUUACCAUGGUUAUGGUAUGGUAAUAACAUGAUACUGAUCAUCAGUACGCAGCAAAUGAACAUACUUUCUCAAUUCUAAUAAAGCAUCAAUUGGGACACAC